UACGGAGGAUGCAAGCGUUGUCCGGAAUCAUUGGGCGUAAAGAGCGUGUAGGCGGCCCGGUAAGUCCGCUGUGAAAGUCGGGGGCUCAACCCUCGAAUGCCGGUGGAUACUGUCGGGCUAGAGUGCGGAAGAGGCGAGUGGAAUUCCUGGUGUAGCGGUGAAAUGCGCAGAUAUCAGGAGGAACACCGAUUGCGAAGGCAGCUCGCUGGGACGUAACUGACGCUGAGACGCGAAAGCGUGGGGAGCAAACAGG
rnacentral:rRNA from 1 species